GUGGGAAGCUGGUCGGGGCCAGUCAAGAAUCUGGGAGUGUCAUUCCAGCAGAAAGUCGUCCUUGUGUUGACUGCCAUGCAUUUGAAUUCAUGCAGAGGGCCCUUCAGGAUUUAAAGAAGACUGCGUACAAUCUAGACACACGGGUGUGAAUCAUGCCUUGCACCUUGCAAGAGAAGCCACUUGUGCAGAUCAUCAGGGACCAAUAUUUACUGAGCCUCCUGUGCAGAUCCUCCAGUGAAGUCAGGAAGAGUUUUGUGUGUAAUAAGGGCUGCGGGACCAGAUUAUAAAAUAGAAAAUUAUUUCUAGUCUCAUUGCACCGUGCUCUAAAGUAGUUCACCAUGGCUAGUGGGUAGCUGUAGAUGUCUCUGCUACAGAUCACAUAUUUUUCUACAGGCAGAAGACAUUGGGUGAAACCCACCCCUUUGCAGAGAGACAGCACAAGGUCAAUGUAUCACUUAACUCCCACUUGGACUUAAGUGGCCUUGUGCUGACCUCUGCACAAGGGGUAAAUUUCACCCUGUAUGCAUCAUUGAACCUGUGGAUUUUCUAGCACAGCCUCACCCUUUGGGGAGUGGGGGUAAAUAUAGUAUCCAUGGCUUUCUAUCAAUAUUUUGCAUGCUUAUUACUGUUGCAACAACUUAAAGAGUCUGGAAAGUCUUACAAGCAAAUAAUAUUGUUUGGUAUGUCAUGCAUUGCAUUUAGAAAGUGGUCGAUAGCAUUUGAAUUUUCACACACGCAUCGUAUCAUGAGUUCGAAGCAGAGUGAAAAAUAGGUGGAUGUUUGCCGUGUAGAAUUCAUUGCAAGUUCCCAGCUGUGACGGUAGCCAUUAUGUUGUAUGUACUCCUCAUUGUCUAUAACAAUAAAAGAUGAGCUGUAUUACAGCG